UUACCAUUGUUGGAGCAAAUCCUUUUGUUUCUUCUUCACUUCGUACACCCUCUUCCAAAAUCACCAACUUUUCCUGCAGUCUUAUCAUCCCAAACGCCGUUGUUCCGAAGCACCACUUAGCUGCAUUGCGACCAGUAUUUCAUCUUCUCUUAUGCCCCCAAAAGGCACCAUAGAACCCGCAUUUUCCUACCCCAUUUGGUUGCUUCCAUGGAAGAAGUGGAGCAAACGUACAAUGCUGAGCCACAAUCAGAGGAGACCUUGCUGUUCAAACUGGAAGAAAUGUGGUACAUGGAAGUGAUAGCCCUGACAAUGGCAAGCGUGAAAUAGGUCAGUUCUUUCCUAGUUUAG